rnacentral:lncRNA from 1 species
UCAGCCGUUGUGGAAAGAGUUGUGAAUGUUGAUAUGGCUGCUUGUUUGUUUGUGAAAUACCAUCUCUGAACCAAACAACGUAGGCAUUCAAUCAUUGACGCAACUGGAAGAUCCCUAAUAAACUUGAUUGCAUUAUUAAUAGAUUCAGCUGUGUUUGAAGUCAUUGUUGAGUACCUACUUACAGUCCAAUGGAGCCUGGUACAUUUAUCCAAUCUGACCUCUUCCUCCAGAUAUGUCCUUAUUCGAGGAUCAAUGGCAUCAAGUUCAGCCAUGUGUUUGUUGAAUUGUUCAACAGUGUAAGCUCUACAAGCCCCGUUGUAAGCCUGUUUAACUUCUUCUUCUCCUUUCUUUUUG